AUGACAGAAGCUGCCCUCAGCCACUGGGUGGUCUGCAGUUCCUCACACCUGCCCAGGUGGGUGCCUUUGCUGAGCCCCUUGUGCAGCACUGGUGUGGGGGUGUGCCUCUGCCAGGCUUCAGGCCUGGAUGCUUUGGGGCCCAGCUCCAGCACUCCAGGGGAGGACCUCAGGCUAGAGCUGGUUUCUAUCCCUAAUUUACCUAGAUCUGGGCCAGGCCUGGGUGGUGAGCUCACCUGCAACAAUGACUGUCCCAGAGAGUGGGGGCCACAUUGGCCCUCCUCUCCGAAGACAAUUUCCCGCCACCCAUGCUGGGGGCACUUAGGAUGGGAGAGGGCCCCUCUUCACCUCCUCACCCUACAGGACAGGGCCUGGAUCCUCCCUUGUGUGGCUUCCGGAAAGUUUGUGAGUUGGGCAAAAGGUUGUGGCCACGAUCUGUCCAACGGUAUACCAUCAGGCCGGAACGCUCUCCCGAAGGCUUUUAUUGCCAGAGUGGAAGGGUCACUCAGAGGCACUUUUUGCUUUGUUUUUCUGUAUUUGUCAAGAGCAGCGGCUCCCAGGUGCCCAGGUUUAGGGCCUAACCCACCAUGUCGGACACCUUGCUGUGCCUGUCUGGGUGUGUGGGGCGGCAGGAGGGGCAGCUCCCUGGAGGGCUGUGUGAGUGGGUUUUCCAGACUCCCUGCCCUCCCCCAGCACUCCAUUUGCUUAUUCAAUCCAGGCCAUUAUCCUGGUCUCUGCCCUGCCUCAGGCGGGUGGAAAUGCGAUCCGGCUCCAUUGAUCGCUGAUGGAGCCCGACUGCAGCAGCCACAGCUGGGUGGGGAGGAGGACAGGACCCUCCACAGACAAACUGGAGGAGGGUGGGAGUGGAUUCCUCACCAAGUCUCAGGCUUGGGGGCUCCAUGGGACCAAGACAGCCCAGUGCUGCUGGCAUCCCACAGCAGGCCCGUCCACCCUCAGAGAGGCUUCCAGUGUCCAGCCUCUGCACAGAGGCCAAACCUCCCCACCAGGCCUCUCCUUUCAGAGCAGAGGUAUCCUCCCCAACACCCAAGUCCAGGCUGCCAGUCCAGUGUGGGUGCCGCUGAGGUCCUGGACUUGGCCCUGGGGAUGGCCUGGAUCUGUUUGCAUCUCAAGCCAUCAUCCCAUCUCAUGCCACCCCAAAGGGCAGGGAGGGUGGAAAGGGUGGUGGCAUUGUUAUCUCAGGGGCCCUGCCCUAAGUCAGCUACUCCCCCAGCUAGAGCUUAUUUGGAAAAUGAGCCUGCUUCUGGUGGGAUCGUAUUGCCCAGGAGGCUUGGGAGCAAAGAGUCCCUUCCAGGCUGCAGGGGAGGCAUGCAGGUGCGGGGUGGGGGGCAGGCAGCCUUCACCCUUGCUAAAGACUUGAGAUGCCUUCAAGGGGCUUCAGCACCCCUUGGGAAAGGACCUGGCCUCAUCAGGGGAUGUGGGAAUGCAGAAGUGUGCUGUCCUUAG
rnacentral:lncRNA from 1 species